AGUGGGGAAUAUUGGACAAUGGGCGCAAGCCUGAUCCAGCCAUGCCGCGUGUGUGAAGAAGGCCUUAUGGUUGUAAAGCACUUUAAGCGAGGAGGAGGCUACUUUAGUUAAUACCUAGAGAUAGUGGACGUUACUCGCAGAAUAAGCACCGGCUAACUCUGUGCCAGCAGCCGCGGUAAUACAGAGGGUGCAAGCGUUAAUCGGAUUUACUGGGCGUAAAGCGCGCGUAGGCGGCUAAUUAAGUCAAAUGUGAAAUCCCCGAGCUUAACUUGGGAAUUGCAUUCGAUACUGGUUAGCUAGAGUGUGGGAGAGGAUGGUAGAAUUCCAGGUGUAGCGGUGAAAUGCGUAGAGAUCUGGAGGAAUACCGAUGGCGAAGGCAGCCAUCUGGCCUAACACUGACGCUGAGGUGCGAAAGCAUGGGGAGCAAACAGGAUUAGAUACCCUGGUAGUCCAUGCCGUAAACGAUGUCUACUAGCCGUUGGGGCCUUUGAGGCUUUAGUGGCGCAGCUAACGCGAUAAGUAGA
rnacentral:rRNA from 1 species